rnacentral:rRNA from 1 species
UACGAAGGGUGCAAGCGUUAAUCGGAAUUACUGGGCGUAAAGGGGGCGUAGGCGGUUCGUUAAGUCUGUCGUGAAAUCCCCGGGCUCAACCUGGGAAUGGCGAUGGAUACUGGCGAGCUAGAGUGUGUCAGAGGAUGGUGGAAUUCCCGGUGUGGCGGUGAAAUGCGUAGAGAUCGGGAGGAACAUCAGUGGCGAAGGCGGCCAUCUGGGACAACACUGACGCUGAAGCACGAAAGCGUGGGGAGCAAACAGG